rnacentral:lncRNA from 1 species
UGGGGCUUGGUUUGCGUAGGUUCUAAAACGAUCAAAAACAUAAUAGAAAUGUGCAAUAACAAUGUUAUCAUCAUGUAGAUAUACACAGAAAUGAGCAGCUAAUCUUUAUUGUCUAAAGAAAAAAGGAAAGAGAAACUGGACUCUUCGGAUUGGGCAAGUGGUCAAGGCCCAUCAGGUUCACGAACAACAACGGACUUCACUCGGCAAAAUGGAUCUAGACUGGAACUUGGGCCUUGAGUUCCGAAGAAACUCAGCAACGCCAAAUCCAAACACGCAUACAAAGAGAUAGAGAAGGCAUUAGUGAUGUCACGUGAGUCCCAACAAAAUAAGCCGUAACAUAUAGGCAUUAUUAAAGAGUAUAGAGAAGCCUACAUGAGGUCCAACAGAAUAAAGCUGUAACAAAUAGACAUGAUUAGAGUGAAGACCAAAUUUUUUUGUGUUAAUCCUAAAGGGAUUAGUGACAGUCAAUGACCAAGAGCUUGGUAUAAGACCUAAUUCAUGGACAUGGUACCCUUUGAAUUCAUGGCGCUUCAGAGUUCACUCGGGUCUCAGGAACCCCGAGCAGUGCUUGUGUAAGGGAAGGGCACCUUAUAGACAAACUAGGUUCCUGCCCAAAUACCCUUAAUAACUCACACUAACUUCUCCCCAAAGGUUUAUAUACAAAGAGGUAUUUACUUAAUCAGACAAUAUGAGAGAAACAAUAGGCACAAAAGUUCAACUACAAAAAGUUCUGAUGUUGCAGAGAAUAGGAUCAAAAUGCAGGGGCAUAAACAUUUAAGGAAUCACACCAUUAUCCUAAAGAAUCAGAGCUUAGAAUGUAAAGGUCAAUUACUGCAGACACUAACAAUGUCCAGGAAUAUUCCACAUAUAUCAGAAUACUCAAAGAGACUAAUCACAGAUGUUUAAUAGGGUGAGUUCAUGGCAACCAUUAGUACACUAAUCCAAAAUGUUAAAUUAAGUGAUACUCAUUAACCCCAUUAGUCCUAGUGUGGGAUUCAAACUUUCAAUAGUUUGUAACUAAGUUCGCACUGCUUCAUCAAUCAUUUUAAUUUAUCUUUAGAACAAUCAGAGUUCCCAUACACAUGGUGGAUUCCUCACUAUAUUGGAUACAUAUACUAACAUUCUUGUUUAACCAAGUAAAGACAUCAAAAUAGGCUAGGUAAUCAGUUUCAAUUUAAUCUAAACUUGGUAUCAUGUUCACUAUUCUGUCAGAUCAUCAAUCAAACAUGCUGGUUCACAACUAUGUUUUUUUAAGGCCAAGAUAUCAACCUAGCGUGGUGUAGUGUUUAUUUAAACAAGACAAACAAGUAUCAAUAGGUUUUCAUAGGCCUAUAAGUGACAACAGUAGUUUUAUGUUAGGUUUUUACAUAGCUCGUGCUGCUAUGUUAUUAGGGAAAACAAGGUUUAACUUCCUUUCAAUAAAGCGGUUUUAAAUGAAAAGUAUAUUAGCUUUGGCAUGGAUCCUCCUAAAAGAGCAAACAUGAAGUUCAUAAGUUUAACGGGAUAAACACAUAAGCAUGAGAGUUAAUAGAAGACACUCGAACCCAUACAUAGUGAUAUUUCCAAAGAGUUACAAGGUUACAAGAUAUAACAGAUAAGCAGGUAACCUAAUAAGUAAGCUACUAAAUUUAUUAAAGGAGUUCAGGUUAUACCAGCAAGUUUAUAUGAGUUAUUAAAUGUGCACAACAUGUAUGGUUCCAAUAUCAUCAAAGUAGACAAGUGAUAUAACAUUACUAAUCUAAGAAUCAAUGUAAUACUGGUGCAGCAGAUAUAAACUUCCAGCAUGACAUCAAAUAAGUCUAAUAUCGUAGCUUAAUCAAUUUAGCUAAGCAUGGUGGCAAGGUUAACAGAACAAUCAUGGAAAAUAUCAACAGUCUUUUAGCUAAUAACAAGAGUUCAACAAGAUUUUUAUCAUCCACUACAGCAAAUGUUAUCUAGUUAAGUCUUGGAUUUCAUUAACACAAAUUAGCUAGCAAUACUAGCACAAUCAUAAGUUAUCACGAGAAUAAUCAUUUUUGAUCAAUGAGAACAACAGAAAAUAUAGUAGGCAAACAUAAUUACUAACAUAUAUCAUGAACGAAAGGAAAUCAGCAUACAUUAAAAUCACCAAAUAAACACACACAAUUGAAAGAAAAGGGAGGGUCAGUGUGUACUGACCUUCUGCAGGGCAGCAAAUCAAACAAAAGCUUCGUCUAGCCAUUUAGGAAUCCAAACUCAAGAUCGAAUAGUAAAGAACGCAUAACCGGAGAAGGGAAAUAAAAAUUAAGAUCGGAGAGUGAGGACAUCUAAAACUUUUCUUUUCUUUCUUUAUUUCUUUCAGAUUGUAUUCAAUUCUACUAUGGG